rnacentral:rRNA from 1 species
AGUGAACGCUGGCGGUAGGCCUAACACAUGCAAGUCGAACGGCAGCACAUUAAGAGCUUGCUCUUACGGGUGGCGAGUGGCGGACGGGUGAGGAAUACAUCGGAAUCUACUUUUUCGUGGGGGAUAACGUAGGGAAACUUACGCUAAUACCGCAUACGACCUACGGGUGAAAGCAGGGGAUCUUCGGACCUUGCGCGAUUGAAUGAGCCGAUGUCGGAUUAGCUAGUUGGCGGGGUAAAGGCCCACCAAGGCGACGAUCCGUAGCUGGUCUGAGAGGAUGAUCAGCCACACUGGAACUGAGACACGGUCCAGACUCUUACGGGAGGCAGCAGUGGGGAAUAUUGGACAAUGGGCGCAAGCCUGAUCCAGCCAUACCGCGUGGGUGAAGAAGGCCUUCGGGUUGUAAAGCCCUUUUGUUGGGAAAGAAAAGCAGCAGGUUAAUACCCCGCUGUUCUGACGGUACCCAAAGAAUAAGCACCGGCUAACUUCGUG